GCCCAGGUAGUAUAUGUAGUGCGGCCGUUUUUCGUGCGGCAAGUGAUUUUGGUUAAUCCCUGGGUU
rnacentral:tRNA from 1 species